GGUACCUUCCCCUCUCUCCUCUCUCCCGUACCCGAGCCCCCUCUCUCCCAUGCUCACCCGUGCUCUCCAAGAGUCGCGUCUUCCGAGUGCAGAGGACGAUGAGAGCUGCUGCCUUUACUUAUGCCUCAAAAUCUUUUUGGUGUUGUGAUUGGUUGUCCAACUAUUAUUUUGGUGGUUGUUCAUCAAAAUCUUACUAAUGUUUCUUUAUUUAUUCUCCAGUCCAUCGAACCUACGGUUCUGAUUGGAACAUCAGGAGUUGGAAGGACAUCCAUAAAAUAUGUUGUUGAGACGAUGGCUUCCUUCAAUGAGGAACUUGGAGGGUUGGGUGUGAAGCAAUCUGAUGGUUUUAUUCAUUUAAAUAGUGGAAGCACUAGCUGAUCAGGUCACUCGAGAGAAUUGAAACUUGAAAGGUAUCAACCUUCGUGCCCGUCACCAGCAUCAGAAACAUCUCCGCUCACAUUGCUGUCGCCGUGGCUGCAAAAAGCUUAUGAGCUUGGUUUGGGGACCCGUUUGCAAUACCCCCGAGACCUGGUGAAAAACGCCGAGAGCUGCUUGUACACUCCUGUCUACUGCAACCACCGAUAGCUCUGCGGGGAUAAAUUUUUAGUAAUAAAAAACUAGGAAUGCAGGGUACUACAAUGUAGCGGUGGUUUUUGUUGGUUUGUCUCUAAUUCGACAACCCUUGUUGCUACUGCUGAUGCUGGUAGACAUUGUACCUGUCUAUGCAUAUGUGUGUGUAUAUAUAUAUAUAUAUAUAUAUAUAUUGUAACG